UACGUAGGGACCGAGCGUUGUCCGGAAUCAUUGGGCGUAAAGAGCGUGUAGGCGGCUAAUUAAGUCCUGCGUGAAAUCUCGGGGCUCAACCCCGAGCGGUCGUGGGAAACUGGUUGGCUAGAGUGCGGGAGAGGAGAGUGGAAUUCCUGGUGUAGCGGUGAAAUGCGCAGAUAUCAGGAAGAACACCCGUGGCGAAGGCGGCUCUCUGGAACGCAACUGACGCUGAGACGCGAAAGCGUGGGGAGCAAACAGG
rnacentral:rRNA from 1 species